GCCCAAUGCUCUUCCAACUGAGCUACGCGGUCAGGACGGUUCGAGUAAGUGAUAUUUCGGAACAGUAUCUAGUUCCUUCAAUACCAAUAUGUUCUACUAAUAUGAAUUUUUUUUCCUGUGUUGGUGUUGUGUACUCAGGUGAAUAAUAUGUUUGCGAUGUUACUCUGAGUGCAUAUCCACACCGGGCGAGCUUGAAAAAUAUGCCCGGCCACGGUGGGAUUCGAACCUACGACCUUUUG